GGCUGUGUGGUCCAGUGGUUAAGGAAACGGGCUUGUAACCAGGAGGUCCCUGGUUCAAAUCCAGGCUCAGCCA